rnacentral:tRNA from 1 species
AGGAUAAUAGUUAAAAUUAUAACAUUUAAUUUGCUUUUAAAAAUAUUAAAUAAUUUAUCUUA